GUCCUCAUUCGUCGUCCUCCCGUUCCGCACCUGGGCCGCAUCCGUUUUCUACCAAACCGCUCCCAUCUAUCGGGCCUCUCUCAAUCGACGCCUGCACACCCGCCCAUCUUCAUGUAUCUCCGCUGCGGCGCCGCCCCUGCCACCGCGUCUCCGCAUCAGCCGUCCUCCGCUCGCGCCAGAAGCCUCCAUCCUCUAGCUCUCGCAGUUCCGGUAGGAGACCAUGACCUUUGUCGGGCACUCGCCGCCAUCGGCGAUAAGGUCAACAUCCGACGCGUGAUGUCCUGGAGAGAAUCGACGGAUCUGGCGUUGUUGCUAUGGCCCCUUGGCCGUCGUCAGUCGUCACCGGAUCCACCUCCACGCCCGCGUCGCCGCCUACCUGUAGCCGUGCUGCCUCCAUCGUUCUCGCGCCUGUGCCAUCGCCUUUGCCUGCACCUGUGCCACAGCCAUCGCUCUCUCUCUCUCGCACCACCCUGCCAGUGUCGCCGCUGUUGUUCUCCGAUCCGUCCGACCAUGUUCCCAUGCUACAAAUUCCCGUCAUCGCAGUGUUGAUCGCCGUAGGUGGCAGCCGCAGCUCAACCGCUACCUCGGGAGGUCCUCCUAAAUCAUCCAGGUUGUAUUAUCCUCUCUUCUCCAUCUCAGUCUUAAAUUACUGCUCACAACUCACACGUAUCAUCCUUCUUUCUGUUAUAUGGUUCAACCAGUAAUCACAUAAACCUAAUUGUAUUCUUGUGAUAGUUCGGUUCCAGCCCACCAGGUGUUUGUGCAAAUGUCUAAGAGUUCAAAUUCCUUUUGUUCAAUAAAUGAGAGGUUCUUUUUCCUAAUACUUCUGGAUGACAUGCUAAUGAAACACCUCCAAUGAUGCCAUGUCGUGAAGUCAUGAGGACCCCCAGCUGUGUAGAUGACAAAGUGGUUAGUGCAUCAGACUAUAUUGUGUCACUUUUAGGAGAUAAGAAUCCGGAAAAUUGCGGGAGGUGAACCUGCCUCUGUGACAGUAUAGUGUAUACUGGUGUGAUUGUUGAUGACUAAUUCCUAUAGCAUUCUGAUUUUUCGGAUAUAUCUAAAGCUUGCAAUGUGAUUUGUUUCGCUGCAGGGUAAUACCCAUCCAUCUGCAGCGCUGCCGAUAGCCUUAUUCUGCUCUUCAUCUUCCUGAUUUGAAUCACAUGAACAGAGCAAGAACGCCAAGGACGCCGACCACUGUGGCCGAGCUUGCUGUGUCGAUCAAAAUGCUCGCGGUCCUGGCCAGCCGCGGCGUGUUCCAAGCAGCACACGCGAUUAAGUUCUACGCUUCGCCAUAGCCCCCUUUUAGGUAACCUAACUUCAUAGGGGAAAUCUGAGAUAGAAUUCCACGAUUAAUUCUGUGGCAUUGAUCUUUUGUUAGGGCAUAUGCUGCAUUGAUCUCUGCUUGUACUUCUGUGCCACAAGAUAUUAUUCCAUUGCCUGGAAAUAGCCUUUUAUUGCAGUAAAAAAAUACUGUAAGCUGUCCCGCACAUUAUAGUGUGGGAGCCUACUGUUCAUAUGGCAGUUAAGCUGGUUAUUGGUGCUGCAGCUGACCGCCAUGGCCUCCAUAUGCUACACAUAUGCAGCUCAAGCAUACUCAGACUUGAUUCUUGUUGUCGCUCAUGGUAUGACAUUGUUCCAGAAUAUCCAUUUCAUUAUGUUGUUACUUCAUUAUGUUGCACAUUUAUAUCUCCAAAUUUAGCAUAUCUUGAUGUCCCAAACUAUAGACGAUGAAUCAAAAAGUAGGGCUUUGCUGGAGUUUCACGAAAAGCUGUCAUGCCAUUUUUCAAGGACGCUUUGGAUAUAUUGGGCUGACCGAUGUAUGAGUAUAUUCUUGUUUGGUCAUUUGAACUGAUAUUUCCAUGUUUAUAUAUAAAAAAUAAAUAUUCAUUGACUUCACACCGUUGCCAAAAAAACAUUUUAUGAUAAAAGCACAUUCUUGAAAACUACCAUUUCGUAGACGUGCAUUGCACCUGCGUGUUCAUUGCACCUGUGUGAUAUACUAAUAAUCUAUUGUGAACUGCGAGUGCCAAUAGUAGGGAACUAGGGGAGGUUAUCUCCCAGAAUCAUAGGAGAGAAGAACUGAAGAAGCGAUACCUUAGUUUGGUAUGAUGCAAUGAGAAGAGUACAAUGUUUGAGAGGCUCAGAGAGUACCAAGGCACAGGUGCAAUGUUAGUGGAUUACAGGUUGGAAAAACAAGGCUAUUCAGAGUUCAGACACCAUGUGCAUGUUUGCUGCUGCUAGAUGAUUUUGCUUGUCACAGGACUGUUUAUGACCGACAAUCCAGGGCUUCGGUAAUUGACGGGGGCUAUUCUGGCCCCAUUUUUUACUAUAAAAACGAUUUCAUUUGGAGAAGAUGCAACAGAGGAACCAGCCACACGACACCAACAAGCAGGUGAAGGUUACUGGGUUUUUUUUUUGGUUCUUUGAGUUAGUUGUGAUUGUUAUCACUAGAUGUUGUAGGACACAACUUAUUUUGUGAAGAUCACUCCUCAAAUGCACUGACUGAAGUGCCAUAUCAUGUAGGAUUUGCUUUGUUAUGUUUUUCACAGUACAAUUAAAACUUAUAAAUAUGGCUUCAUGACAAUGGAGUGGUGAAAUGCCCAUCCAGCUUUGCAAUCCUCUGUAUUUGCAAAUUCUCUAGAUAGAUCAAGUUCAUUUGACAAUGUUUAAAGAAGCAUCACUGACAGAUAUUGUCUUCAGUGCUUCCCAAAACCAGGUGCUGAAGUACAUUCUAUCUAGACAAUACUAUUUGAAAAUAAGGCCUAAAACAUCUUGUUUUGAUUCAGAGGGUUUUGCCACCCCUACACUCAGCAGCAUUUCAUCCAAAACAAUCUUGAUGCUAACUGAAACAUGAAAAGUAAAACAAAUCAGGAUAGAUAUAAUUCACAAAUCAGGUGGACCUGUAUUUUGUGUUAUCUUGUGGUGGCAGAACCAUUUGUCAUUAAUCCUUUAACAGAUUAUUGUCGGGUCUAAAUUUCCGUUCUUACAAAGAUGAAAUAAAUAAAUGUUGAUCUAUUCAUAGCUGGAUGUACCUGUGGGCAUUCUAAUUGUGUUUGCUGGAUGUAUAGUAAAACACACACAGAUCAGGAAGGCCAAGGAAAUAUAUUGAGUUUACUGGAUUGAUGAAGUAUGUUAUUGCAACUUUUUUCUGAAUUAAUGUUGUCCACUGUUUCUAUUUUUUUACAUACAGCCUUUCAGGUUAUCACUAUUGUCCUGAACCAUGCCAUUUUAUAUUGAUCAGAUCUGAUACCUUAUAGAGGGUGGUAUUUUGCCGUAGAACUGCAGAGAGUUCACAGUCAACCAACAAGAUAUUGAUGAGAGCGCAACAAGGUAUGCCACCCAAUGAGAAGCUAUAUUUCGUUCAGCAGUAGACCCACUAAGGAAGAAUAAUAACUUCCAAUUGCACAACAAGAUGGAGAUAUCUGAACUCUGAACCCAGUCAGGAAUCAGAAAAUCCUGGUUGCAACAUCAAUACAAAAACGGUGGGAGAAGUCAGUUGCAACCAGCAACAUGCAGAAGAGCCAGCCUGCAGUCCUUCUACGGCCAGCAACACUUCAAAGAAAGACCAUCAUUAUACUCCUACCAACAAUAGCGGUGAAGCAGUACCUCAAACACUUUACAUCUUCGGAAAAAACAAGACAAAUGUUGUGAUGCGUGCCAAAAUAUUCUAGCUAUACUUUGUAUAUAAAACUAACUUGAGACUGAAUUUAUAACUGAGUUUAGGGAAUACAUCCUUAGCCAACAAUUUUACUUGUGCUUGAUUAGGAGCAGUUUAGGGAAUGUCAUGUCGAGAAGUUAGUAGAAUACAUGGCGUGGGAGUUUCGUUUUGGUUA